UACGUAGGGGGCUAGCGUUAUCCGGAAUUACUGGGGCGUAAAGGGUGCGUAGGCGGUCUUUCAAGCCAGAAGUGAAAGGCUACGGCUCAACCGUAGUAAGCUUUUGGAACUGUAAGACUUGAGUGCAGGAGAGGAGAGUGGAAUUCCUAGUGUAGCGGUGAAAUGCGUAGAUAUUAGGAGGAACACCAGUAGCGAAGGCGGCUCUCUGGACUGUAACUGACGCUGAGGCACGAAAGCGUGGGGAGCAAACAGGAUUAGAUACCCGGGUAGUCCCUGAG
rnacentral:rRNA from 1 species